GGAGAAGAUUCGGCAGCGGCAGUCCAUCCUGCCUCCUCCCCAGGGCCCGGCGCCCAUCCCCUUCCAGCACCGCGGCGGGGAUUCCCCGGAGGCCAAGAAUCGCGUGGGCCCGCAGGUUUCCGCCGUCGGGAGUCGCAGGAGGAGCCGCGGGCCGUGCUGGCUCAGAAGAUAGAGAAGGAGACGCAAAUCCUCAACUGCGCCCUGGACGACAUCGAGUGGUUUGUGGCCCGGCUGCAGAAGGCAGCCGAGGCUUUCAAGCAGCUGAACCAGCGGAAAAAGGGGAAGAAGAAGGGCAAGAAGGCGCCAGCAGGUGCAGGGGACAGGGACGGGGCCGGCAGGUGCAGGGGACGGGGCCAGCAGGUGCAGGGGACAGGGACGGGGACGGGGCCAGGGACAUCCAUGGGGGCUACUCAUGGAGG
rnacentral:lncRNA from 1 species